rnacentral:lncRNA from 1 species
AAUGUAUUAAUGUUUCUACAAGUUCUUAAAUCGAGAGGUAGUUCAUUAUAUUCUUUAAACCCUUUGCAAAUUAAAGAAUUCAUCAUAAAGCUAUUUUUAAACUCAACAAUAUGUAGAUUAUUUGUACAAUAUGAAGCAUUGGCGGACAUAGGUUUAUCAAGCAAACGGUCAUUAUUUUUUCUUGCAGAAUUACCCCUUAAAGUGUGUCGCACUAAUUUAGAAACACCCUGUAUUGAUAAAGAACAUGGCUGGUUGUUAAAGUCCCUAACUUUUUUAUCAUCCAACAUAAGCAAAGAAAUAUAAAAACAGAAUGUUAAGAAAACCUGGAGCUAUAGUUGAGUUUUAAUUUCAAUAUUUUAUACAGGCUAGAAUAUUCCACAGGGUGUUGUGAAAAUUGAGAAAAAAUCCCAGUUUGAUUGGUACACCCGGUAUACAAUGAAAAUUGACCUAUGUAGCAACAAUAUUAUUACAGCGAUAUUGUUAAAGUAUAAGGCUACAACAUAUUAAAAAAUUAAAUUAAAAUUAAAUUAAUAUUUAUUGACGGAAAACUCCAUUUUACAAUUAAAAUUAAAAGUCAAAAUUAAACAUUGAACACAAGUUAACUUACAUUACUUACAAUUAAACUAACGACAUCAAAAAAUUAAAAUCAAAUUAAAAUAAUUUACUUGAAAUAGUCCUUUUAAAAGCAUUUAGUGUGACUCCCAUAAAGUCUAUAUUUGGAAACUCAUUUACACUAGAAACAAUUCUAUUUAAAGGCAUAUUUUCUGCAUGACGUGUAUUGCACGAUCUAGCGGAUAGCAAGGGACAUCUUCUCAAAUUCCUAGCUGGAACAUAAAAAUCUAUUCGACCCAGAAUGCUAGGUGCAACAAUAAUACAAUUUAACACCUUAAAUACGAAAUUAAGGUCAAAGUAUCGCCUGCGAUCCUCUAGACGGUGCAAAUGAAACAUCUGCAUGACCUGACUGGAAUUCAAUUGCAUUCCUGUAGUACCUAAUCUAUACCGCAGAUAUCUAACGAAUUUAUUUUGAAUCGAUUCAAUUCGAUAUUUGUGAUUCUCAUAACUUGGACUCCAAAUCACUGAACAAUACUCUAGUAAUGAACGAACAUAACUCAAAAACAAUCUCACAAUUACAAACAAAUUAUUAAAAUCAUAUGACAUUCUGAUGACUAACCCUAAUGUCCGAUUAGCACGCGCAAUAAUGGCAUCAUAAUGGUCCACGAAACUUAGCUUACUAUCCAGCAACACACCUAAAUCCUUAAUUACCUGAACCCUAGAUAAAUCCACAUCUCCUAUCUUGUAUUUAAAAUCACUGGUGGUCUACCGUGAAAAAAUAAUAUAUGAGCAUUUCGAAGCAUUCAAUCUAAGAUUAUUUUCCUGGCACCAAUGUACUAAAGAAUCCAAGUCUCUCUGCAAACCCUCACAAUCAGAUUCUGACCUAAUGCAUUUAAAUAUCUUCAAGUCGUCUGCAAAUAUCAGAUAUUCAGAUUUAAAGUUCCUACCAAUAUCAUUUACCAACAACAGAAAAAGCUUAGGACCCAAAUGGGAACCCUGCGGAACCCCUGACACGGCUUCAAAUCCAUUAGAAACACAUCCUGCUGAUCUUACUUGCAAUGUUCUUCCUUGCAAAUACGAAGUAAACCAAGCUAAUAAAGAACCAGUGAUACCAAAGUUUCUCAGCUUUGUAAUUAAGACAUUAUGAUCUAGUAGGUCAAAGGCCUUACUGAAAUCGGUGUAUAUAGAGUGCACCUCGUAACCCUCAUCCAUUGCUGUACCUAUACUAUCGAUAUACAAAAAGAGGUUAGUGAGAGUAGAACGUCCGCCUACAAAUCCAUGUUGGUUGUCCGUAAUAAUGUUCCUAAAACAAUUAUCCAAACUUGGCAAAACCAUUUUUUCAAAUACUUUAGAUAAGGCUGACUGAAUACAAACUGGCCGAUAAUUUUUGAUAUCACUAUGAUCUCCUGCCUUGAAAAUAGGACACACAAAGGAAUGUUUCCAUCUGUUCGGGAAAAUUUCCGUCUGGAGAGAUUUAUUAAGAACAUAUACUAAUGGUUCACACAAGGACACUGCACUUUCUCUUAGGAACAAAUUCGGUAUCAAAUCAGGGCCAGCCCCUUUAUUGACAUUUAAUGACAACAACACAUUCAGUAAAUUGUCAAAAGUGACUUCGAGUUUACUAAUUUCCACCUCCAGCUGUUGUGAGAAAAUUUCAUUACUCUCCAGGUUAUCCAGAGAUUUACCAUUAAAAGUGCUGUAUACAGUACCAAAAUGUUUCGCAAACAACUCUGUUAUUUUUUGUUUGUCAUUCUCACUUUCCUCACCUAGAAACUUAGAGCCAGGGAGAGCACCAUGUCCGUUGGUUUUAUUUUUGAUGAACUUCCAAAAUUCACCAGCGUUCUCAUUUAUUCUCACUUCCAUCUUUGAAACGUAAGCAUUGUAAGACUGCUCAGUGAGUGAUGAGCAUUCAUCUCUCAAAUUUUUAAAUUCAAUAUAGUGGUGAUACUUAUUUGUAGUUUUAUAUUUUUUAUGCGCAAUCUUUUUGGCAAUGACUUUACUCUUAAGUUCAGAUGAGAACCAAAAAGGAAAAUUCGAUCUUUUUACAGAUAUCUUUGGUACAAAAAGUUCAAUUGCGUUCCAAAUAAUGGAAUAAAAAGCAUCUAAAAUGUCAUUUACAUCCUCUAAACAGUACAACUCAAUCCAAUUGAUCUGAAGCAAAUAAUUAUUCAAGGCACCAUAAUCCGCCUUGUGAAAGUUAUAAUAAAUAUUAGUUUCCAAACUGAUAUAUUGAUUAUCAAAUAAUAUUAAUGCUUCAAAAAUUACUUAAAUCGGACAACAGGUUUAGGAGAUACAAGACAUCAAAAAUGACCCAUUUUUUGGUGCCCGUUUUUCGUGCCGGUGAGUGUAUUUUAAAUUGAACUUAGCCGUUAUAUUCCACCAAUUAAAUUUAUUUUUGAAUAUAAAUGAGAGCCAAGAGUAAAAAUCUGAACAAAAAAUUACAAUUUCAAAACGGAAACAAACUUCAAAAAUAAACAGCCAAAAUAAUAUAGGUCAGUUUAAAAAUAUGCCAAUUAUAAAAAAUAAUAUUCUACUCUUUGCAUGAAACCAAAUAUACGAAUUUACAAUGUCACAAAUAGGAUCAUGCUUCAUGCUGCCCAGUGUAAACUGUAAGAUAAAUUUUAUAAAAGUAUAUCGCAAAUGAACCAUACAGUAUUAGUGCCUAAAAUUUGUGAAUAAUCAAACUUAAUAACAAAAUAAUAAGCGACUUGAAUUAGUUUUCAUAAAGAACAUAUAAUAGAAUAGUAACAGUAAACGGAACUUUCCUCUUGAUUUCCAUUCUGGAACUUACCUCUUGAUUGCCAUUACCAUUCGAAACUGGAGUUUUUCCAAGCUGCCUUAAGACAGCGAUAAUUAUUCCUAUACACAAAGGAGGCGAUAAAGAUUUUGCUUCGAAUUAUCGCCCUAUUGCACUCCUGCCCACGUUGUCGAAGAUAAUUGAAAGUCUGGUAAAAAAAAGAAUCUUAUCUUUUCUGUUAAAAUACAAAUUGCUUACUCCACAUCAAUUUGGAUUCCUGAGUGACAAAUGCACGAAUGAUGCUAUGUUCUUCCUUUUCGAUCAUGUUUACUCCAGUCUAAACAACCAUCUUUCUAUAGCAACAAUUUUCUGUGAUUUCUCUAAAGCAUUCGAUUGUGUAAACCAUAACAUCUUGACUGACAAAUUACAGCACUAUGGAUUUAGGGGAAAGGAUCUUAAAUGGCUUAAAUCAUAUCUUAAUAAAAGAAGUCAGUUUGUAAGGGUUGACACGAAGACAUCUUCUUGCAUGCCAUUAGAAUGUGGGGUACCUCAGGGUUCAGUUCUAGGCCCUUUAUUGUUUCUGAUAUACAUAAAUGACAUCUCUAGUCUGAACAUUAAAGGUAAAAUAUGUCUCUUUGCAGAUGAUACUAGUAUUACUUAGAGUAACACGGAUAUUAUGGAUCUUCGCAAUACCAUAGCUACAGACCUAGUCACCAUUAAAUCGUGGUGCGAUUCGAAUCUCCUGUUAUUUAACGUUUCUAAAACCAAAGUCCUACCUUAUCUUAUUAUUACCUACAGUAUGAUGCAACCUUUAGUACUUAAUAACAACAGUCUAGAGGUAGUUGAACCCGUGAAGUUCUUAGGGCUUAUUGUGGAUAAGUCUCUAAAAUGGAACUUGCACAUUGAUGCCUUACACAAAAAAUUAAGUUCUGCUUGUUUUGCGCUAAGAUCAGUUGCUACGGAAAUGAAUUUGUCAACAUCUAUGACCGUUUAUUAUGCCCUUUUUGAGUCUCAUCUUCGGUACGCCCUUCCAUUCUGGGGUUCGUGUUGUGCGACUCAAUUUGAGCGUAUUUUUAAACUACAAAAGAGAGCUCUUCGUUACUCCCUGAGACUCAAUAGCAGAAUUCAUUGCCAAGAAUUCUUUAAAAAAUUUAAAAUAUUAACUCUUCCUUCUUUGUUUGUUUUUGAAUAUGUUUGUUUAAUCCGCAAACAUGCAUCAGAAGGUCCAGAGAGACCCACUCACAACUAUCCCCUUAGAAACGUGGAGCAUAAUCUUUAUCUGCCAACCACACGGUCUGAGCUGGUUAAGUGCUCUAUACUAUACAAUUCGAGAAAAAUGCACAAUCACCUGCCAUCUAACAUCAAAUCUAUUGCAGCAUUUCCCGCUUUUCGCAAGGCCUUGAAAGCUUAUUUGCUUGAGAGAGCUUUUAUACAGUGAAUGACUUUUUUAUAAACGAUUUGAAUUCAGCAAAUUGACUUGCAGGAUUAUUACUUUCGAGUACUUUUGUACAUAUUUGCAGCGGCAUAGAUCUUUUGAUUUACUUUCCCUUUCGCUUUUCCUCGUUCGCCUUCUUUUUGCUCUGACGUUGUAUACAUAUUGUUUGCAAAAUUUUUAAAUUUUUUAAUGUGUACUUAAUAACUAUAAAAUUGUUUUAAGUAGUAUAACUCACGCCAUUUAUUUGGUGUCUGUUUCUGUUUUUGUUUUGUUUGUAGUUUUUAUUAUUUUUUGUUAUUUAUUGUAUUUUUUUAUUUUGUAUAAGCUUUGUCCACAAAUUGGAAAACAUUUUGACAAUAAAGCAUACUUACUUACUUACUGGUUUUGAUGGCUUAAAAAUGGCGCGUACUUUUUUUUAAUGGCAUGGACUUCAUGUCAAUCAGCCAGUCACAACAUGACUACUGUUAGGAAGAAUAAAUAUUUAAAGACCGUAAGUCCAUAAAAUAUCAGUAACGAAGAAAAAUUAGUUCAGUAGCGGUUGAGACGUAAUUUAAGUACCUACUGAAAUAAAAAGAUGGUACUAAGCUAAGGUAAGCUAAUUAUAGCCUCCUUUCAACAUCGUAGGCGUGUUCAUAAACGAUCUACAAUAAUUUGAUAACAAUAACAAUAAUAUAAGAAUAAUAACAAACAAGACGGCGAGGUCCUCAAAGUUCCAUAGCAAGUUUUUUCUUUGUUUUUAUCUUCCGCGACUCCCUACUCAAUUCGAAAACUGCCUUGCUAUGGACUGUCCAAGUUGCUCACCACAUUUUCUCUAUAUACAUACAUACACAUAUUUAUGUAAAAAAAUACACACAUAUACUUUUAAUACUUGACACUACAAAACUAUUUUGGUAUUUGACAGAAACAUCACCAAUACAUUAUACAUACAUACAUACUCUCUUGUCCAUUGGCUAAAAUACUAAGGAUAUUAAACGGAGCUGGUAUCUUAAGUCUAUGUAGCUGCUGAAUAAAUCGAUCUGUUUCAUUCUUAUAUUUUUGGCAUUAAAAAAAAUAUGAUCUAAAUCACCUUUUUUAUCACAAUUUGGACAUCGAUCAUUUUCGAUAACACGAAUUUUAUGCAACAGGCGUGACCAAAACGAAGUCGUGUUAUAGUUGUGAUGUAUUUUCUUGAAUUAUUAAUAUAUGGCUGAAACCACGUUCUAUUCGGUAUUUUCUUUUGUAUACUACAGUACCUAGAAGGUUGGUAUAAGUAUGAUGUGACCAACAUGCAUUCCAAAUUGUGAGGUAUUUCAUUUUAAUGUAAGAGGCAGCAUCACAAAAAUUUACAGGAUGUUUAUUAGGCAAACCAUUUUUUACACUUUUUCGCCAGCACAUCAACAUGCUCAUUAUGUUCAAGACCGAUAUGUGCUUUAACCCAAACAAAAUUAAUCUUUUUAUGAACUUUAUGUAGUUCCAAAAAGCGUUUUUUGAUUGCAUAUAUGAUAUAAUUGGAGGAAUAACUUGGGUACUUAGUCAAAACCAAGGAAUUUAAAACAGACAGGGAGUCCGAUAUAAUAAUGGCGCGCACCAGGCACGUAGCCAAAGGGGGGUCCAUGGGGUCCCGACCCCUCCCAAAACUGUCUCGGCUUUGGUACCAAAACAACAAGUUUAUCCCCAAGUUAUUAUUAUUAUUUUUGAAAAAGUAAACUAAAUUAAUAUUAUUUUUUACUAGGAUUAUUUGUUUUUGUGUACGUUUCAACAUAUUCAGUUUAAAAAUCAGAUUUACCACAAUGAAAAGUAUUCUAUGAACAUUUUAAAUUCUUUUACCUGGUUUACUCUUUACCUUCUCAUACCUAAAUUUGCCUCUAAAGAAAAAAGGAAAAUUGCUAGAAAAUUUGUCUACCUAUUACUCCCAUGAUCCUUCUCUUACAGCAAUAAAAGCUGAAUAUGUUAUGGUAUAACUGUAAUACAAUAUCAUCUUUGGAAUCAAAUACCGAAAUUCUCCGCGUAAUGAACAUUGUGAUUUAUUUUUUUUCCAAAAAUUUACAAAUAGGUCUGGAUCCCGCGUAUGAAAAAAAGUUGAUUAAUAGCAAGCUGAAAAUUUGUUAAUAACAUAAGGGUGCCUAGUCGGACAAACUUUGAUAUAUGGGAACACUGGAACAGGUUUUAAUUGUGGAACAGGUUAAAAAUUUGGAACUUUCAGACCAUGAAAACGGCACAUGUAUUUUGUCCGACAGAACAGACUUAAACUCUCCGAACAGAGAUUAAACUCUCAUGCAAAAAUCAGACUGCUAUUUAUCACCAAAUGGGCGUUUUAAUGAGUCGAACAUGUAGAAUAUGUCAAAUGACAGGAAUUAUGACAGGUGAUAAAUAGCAGUCUGAUUUUUGCAUGAGAGUUUAAUCUCUGUUCGGAGAGUUUAAGUCUGUUCUGUCGGACAAAAUAAAUGUGCCGUUUUCGUGGACUGACCGUUCCAAAUUUUUAACCUGUUCCACAAUUAAAACUGCCCCUGUUCCAGUGUUCCCAUAUAUCAAAGUUUAUCCGACUAGACACCCUUAAGCUAUUAACAAAUUUUCAGCUUGCUAAUAAUCAACUUUUUUUCAUACGCGGUAUCCAGACCUAAAAUGCCUUACAAUUUUGGCAACUAUCCCUGUCACAACGGCCAAUGUAAAACGUUCGUUCUCAACAAUGAGGCCCGGUCUUUUCACCUCCGAAUAAAUAUUCCCUUAUCUGGCAGUUAGCUAUCUGGAGGAUAAAUAUUUUUUCGCCAGAUAAAAUGUACCCGUCUUUUCACGUCAAUUUAUGUUCCAGUGAGUUAUCCGGUAGAUAAGCUUAAAAGUAAGUUUGGAUUCGGAACACACCUGAUUUUUGCGUUUAUAUUUAUAAUUUCAGCUUUAACUUAACCUAACAUAAUUAGAUUCACAUAAUCAAGAUCAGAUGAUUUUAUCGAUUUUAUAUCCAUUUUGGAAGAAGGAAAUAAAGAAAACAUUGAUUAUGGUGAAAAAGUUUACUGGAUAACUUGAACAAGAGGUAAAUCAAUUUUAAAUUAGUGGAAAACUGUUGAUUUGUAUGUAAAGAAGACAAGUUUAAAUAAAGACAAGCUAGCUAAUGAAACAGAUACAGUGUUACAGAUAUGACAAACAUCUAGAAGAUAGAGUCCUGCGUUCCUAAAGAAAAAAGCUAGUUCAAGAAGUAAGCUACCAAUAAUAAACUAGAGAAUGUAUUACAAUAAAGAACAACGCUAAUACUCAACAUAGCUCAAUUUCUUCAGAUAGAAAAAGAGGAGGAAAGGGUACAACACAAGCGUGCUAGAGAAAAUGAAAGGGUAGAAGAGAGACACAAAAAUUCAUUGAUUUAUUAAAUUUAAAAAUUAAAUUAUACAAAGGACAAUUAAAUAAAGAAUAAAAAAUGA